GGAGUAGGUCGGGUAAUCGCCGGUAAUCCAUUGGAUUGCGGGAGGAAAGUCCGAGCUCGAUAGGAUAGGGUGCUGGCUAACGGCCAGGCGAGGCGACUCGACGGAAAGUGCCACAGAAAAAAAACGGCCAUCCUUAACGCUCUUUGGGUGUGAGAUGGUCACGGUGAAAAGGUGCGGUAAGAGCGCACCGCGGUGGCGGCAACGUUCACUGGCAAGGUAAACCCCACCUGGAGCAAUGCCAAAUAGGGACCCGUGUUUCGAGCAAUCGAAAUGCUACUGAUCCGGUGGUCAGGGUUCGGGUAGGCAGCUGGAGCGGCAGAGUAAUUUGUCGCCUAGAUGAAUGAUUACACAAAAACAGAACUCGGCUUAUAGACCUACUCCGCUU
rnacentral:RNase_P_RNA from 1 species